GGUUAAGCGACUAAGCGUACACGGUGGAUGCCCUGGCAGUCAGAGGCGAUGAAGGACGUGCUAAUCUGCGAAAAGCGUCGGUAAGGUGAUAUGAACCGUUAUAACCGGCGAUGUCCGAAUGGGGAAACCCAGUGCAAUUCGUUGCACUAUCGUUAACUGAAUACAUAGGUUAACGAGGCGAACCGGGGGAACUGAAACAUCUAAGUACCCCGAGGAAAAGAAAUCAACCGAGAUUCCCCCAGUAGCGGCGAGCGAACGGGGAGCAGCCCAGAGUCUGAAUCAGCUUGUGUGUUAGUGGAACGGUCUGGAAAGUCCGACGGUACAGGGUGAUAGUCCCGUACACCAAAAUGCACAGGCUGUGAACUCGAAGAGUAGGGCGGGACACGUGGUAUCCUGUCUGAAUAUGGGGGGACCAUCCUCCAAGGCUAAAUACUCCUGACUGACCGAUAGUGAACCAGUACCGUGAGGGAAAGGCGAAAAGAACCCCGGCGAGGGGAGUGAAAAAGAACCUGAAACCGUGUACGUACAAGCAGUGGGAGCACCUUCGGGUGUGACUGCGUACCUUUUGUAUAAUGGGUCAGCGACUUAUAUUCUGUAGCAAGGUUAACCGUAUAGGGGAGCCGCAGGGAAACCGAGUCUUAACUGGGCGUUAAGUUGCAGGGUAUAGACCCGAAACCCGGUGAUCUAGCCAUGGGCAGGUUGAAGGUUGGGUAACACUAACUGGAGGACCGAACCGACUAAUGUUGAAAAAUUAGCGGAUGACUUGUGGCUGGGGGUGAAAGGCCAAUCAAACCGGGAGAUAGCUGGUUCUCCCCGAAAGCUAUUUAGGUAGCGCCUCGUGAAUUCAUCUUCGGGGGUAGAGCACUGUUUCGGCUAGGGGGUCAUCCCGACUUACCAACCCGAUGCAAACUACGAAUACCGAAGAAUGUUAUCACGGGAGACACACGGCGGGUGCUAACGUCCGUCGUGAAGAGGGAAACAACCCAGACCGCCAGCUAAGGUCCCAAAGUCAUGGUUAAGUGGGAAACGAUGUGGGAAGGCACAGACAGCCAGGAUGUUGGCUUAGAAGCAGCCAUCAUUUAAAGAAAGCGUAAUAGCUCACUGGUCGAGUCGGCCUGCGCGGAAGAUGUAACGGGGCUAAACCAUGCACCGAAGCUGCGGCAGCGACACGAUGUGUUGUUGGGUAGGGGAGCGUUCUGUAAGCCUGCGAAGGUGACCUGUGAGGGUUGCUGGAGGUAUCAGAAGUGCGAAUGCUGACAUAAGUAACGAUAAAGCGGGUGAAAAGCCCGCUCGCCGGAAGACCAAGGGUUCCUGUCCAACGUUAAUCGGGGCAGGGUGAGUCGACCCCUAAGGCGAGGCCGAAAGGCGUAGUCGAUGGGAAACAGGUUAAUAUUCCUGUACUUGGUGUUACUGCGAAGGGGGGACGGAGAAGGCUAUGUUAGCCGGGCGACGGUUGUCCCGGUUUAAGCAUGUAGGCUGGUUGUCCAGGCAAAUCCGGAUAAUCAAGGCUGAGGUGUGAUGACGAGGCACUACGGUGCUGAAGUAACAAAUGCCCUGCUUCCAGGAAAAGCCUCUAAGCAUCAGGUAACAUCAAAUCGUACCCCAAACCGACACAGGUGGUCAGGUAGAGAAUACCAAGGCGCUUGAGAGAACUCGGGUGAAGGAACUAGGCAAAAUGGUGCCGUAACUUCGGGAGAAGGCACGCUGGUGUGUAGGUGAAGUCCCUGCGGAUGGAGCUGAGACCAGUCGAAGAUACCAGCUGGCUGCAACUGUUUAUUAAAAACACAGCACUGUGCAAACACGAAAGUGGACGUAUACGGUGUGACGCCUGCCCGGUGCCGGAAGGUUAAUUGAUGGGGUUAUCCGUAAGGAGAAGCUCUUGAUCGAAGCCCCGGUAAACGGCGGCCGUAACUAUAACGGUCCUAAGGUAGCGAAAUUCCUUGUCGGGUAAGUUCCGACCUGCACGAAUGGCGUAAUGAUGGCCAGGCUGUCUCCACCCGAGACUCAGUGAAAUUGAACUCGCUGUGAAGAUGCAGUGUACCCGCGGCAAGACGGAAAGACCCCGUGAACCUUUACUAUAGCUUGACACUGAACAUUGAGCCUUGAUGUGUAGGAUAGGUGGGAGGCUUUGAAGCGUGGACGCCAGUCUGCGUGGAGCCAACCUUGAAAUACCACCCUUUAAUGUUUGAUGUUCUAACGUUGGCCCCUGACCGGGGUUGCGGACAGUGUCUGGUGGGUAGUUUGACUGGGGCGGUCUCCUCCCAAAGCGUAACGGAGGAGCACGAAGGUUAGCUAAUCCUGGUCGGACAUCAGGAGGUUAGUGCAAUGGCAUAAGCUAGCUUGACUGCGAGCGUGACGGCGCGAGCAGGUGCGAAAGCAGGUCAUAGUGAUCCGGUGGUUCUGAAUGGAAGGGCCAUCGCUCAACGGAUAAAAGGUACUCCGGGGAUAACAGGCUGAUACCGCCCAAGAGUUCAUAUCGACGGCGGUGUUUGGCACCUCGAUGUCGGCUCAUCACAUCCUGGGGCUGAAGUAGGUCCCAAGGGUAUGGCUGUUCGCCAUUUAAAGUGGUACGCGAGCUGGGUUUAGAACGUCGUGAGACAGUUCGGUCCCUAUCUGCCGUGGGCGCUGGAGAAUUGAGGGGGGCUGCUCCUAGUACGAGAGGACCGGAGUGGACGCAUCACUGGUGUUCGGGUUGUCAUGCCAAUGGCACUGCCCGGUAGCUAAAUGCGGAAGAGAUAAGUGCUGAAAGCAUCUAAGCACGAAACUUGCCCCGAGAUGAGUUCUCCCUGAGACUUUAAGUCUCCUGAAGGAACGUUGAAGACGACGACGUUGAUAGGCCGGGUGUGUAAGCGCAGCGAUGCGUUGAGCUAACCGGUACUAAUGAACCGUGAGGCUUAACCUU
rnacentral:rRNA from 1 species